rnacentral:rRNA from 1 species
UACGAAGGGGGCUAGCGUUGCUCGGAAUCACUGGGCGUAAAGGGUGCGUAGGCGGGAUCUUAAGUCAGAGGUGAAAGCCUGGAGCUCAACUCCAGAACUGCCUUUGAUACUGGGAUUCUUGAGUUCGGGAGAGGUGAGCGGAACUGCGAGUGUAGAGGUGAAAUUCGUAGAUAUUCGCAAGAACACCAGUGGCGAAGGCGGCUCACUGGCCCGAUACUGACGCUGAGGCACGAAAGCUAGGGGAGCAAACGGG